rnacentral:rRNA from 1 species
UUAAAGAGAGUUUGAUCCUGGCUCAGGACGAACGCUGGCGGCGUGCCUAAUACAUGCAAGUCGAACGAACCGACGAAAGAGCUUGCUCUUUCUGACGUUAGUGGCGGACGGGUGAGUAACACGUG